AACGAACGCUGGCGGCAUGCCUAACACAUGCAAGUCGAACGAGACCUUCGGGCCUAGUGGCGCACGGGUGCGUAACGCGUGGGAACCUGCCUUUAGGUUCGGAAUAACUCAGAGAAAUUUGAGCUAAUACCGGAUAAUGUCUUCGGACCAAAGAGUUAUCGCCUUUAGAUGGGCCCGCGUUGGAUUAGCUAGUUGGUGGGGUAAAGGCCUACCAAGGCGACGAUCCAUAGCUGGUCUGAGAGGAUGAUCAGCCACACUGGGACUGAGCCACGGCCCAGACUCCUACGGGAGGCAGAAGUGGGAAAUAUUGGACAAUGGGCGAAAGCCUGAUCCAGCAAUGCCGCGUGAGUGAUGAAGGCCUUAGGGUUGUAAAGCUCUUUUACCCGAGAUGAUAAUGACAGUAUCGGGAGAAUAAGCCCCGGCUAACUCCGUGCCAGCAGCCGCCGUAA
rnacentral:rRNA from 1 species